rnacentral:rRNA from 1 species
UACGGAGGGUGCAAGCGUUAUCCGGAUUCACUGGGUCUAAAGGGUGCGUAGGCGGGCAGGUAAGUCAGUGGUGAAAUCUCCGAGCUUAACUUGGAAACUGCCAUUGAUACUAUCUGUCUUGAAUAUUGUGGAGGUGAGCGGAAUAUGUCAUGUAGCGGUGAAAUGCUUAGAUAUGACAUAGAACACCAAUUGCGAAGGCAGCUCGCUACACAAAUAUUGACGCUGAGGCACGAAAGCGUGGGGAUCAAACAGG